rnacentral:rRNA from 1 species
GCCAGACUCCUACGGGAGGCAGCAGUGGGGGAUAUUGCACAAUGGGGGGAACCCUGAUGCAGCGACGCCGCGUGGGCGAAGAAGUAUUUCGGUAUGUAAAGCCCUAUCGGCAGGGAAGAAAUUGGACGGUACCUGACUAAGAAGCCCUGGCUAACUACGUGCCAGCAGCCGCGGUAAUACGUAGGGGGCAAGCGUUAUCCGGAUUCACUGGGUGUAAAGGGAGCGUAGACGGCCAUGCAAGCCUGGAGUGAAAGCCCGGGGCCCAACCCCGGGACUGCUCUGGGAACUGUGCGGCUGGAGUGCGGGAGGGGCAGGCGGAAUUCCUAGUGUAGCGGUGAAAUGCGUAGAUAUCAGGAGGAACACCGGCGGCGAAGGCGGCCUGCUGGACCGUGACUGACGUUGAGGCUCGAGAGCGUGGGGAGCAAACAGGAUUAGAUACCCCGGUA